rnacentral:rRNA from 1 species
GACGAACGCUGGCGGCGUGCCUAAUACAUGCAAGUUGAGCGCUGAAGGUUGGUACUUGUACCAACUGGAUGAGCAGCGAACGGGUGAGUAACGCGUGGGGAAUCUGCCUUUGAGCGGGGGACAACAUUUGGAAACGAAUUCUAAUACCGCAUAAAAACUUUAAACACAAGUUUUAAGUUUGAAAGAUGCAAUUGCAUCACUCAAAGAUGAUCCCGCGUUGUAUUAGCUAGUUGGUGAGGUAAAGGCUCACCAAGGCGAUGAUACAUAGCCGACCUGAGAGGGUGAUCGGCCACAUUGGGACUGAGACACGGCCCAAACUCCUACGGGAGGCAGCAGGAGGGAAUCUUCGGCAAUGGACGAAAGUCUGACCGAGCAACGCCGCGUGAGUGAAGAAGGUUUUCGGAUCGUAAAACUCGGUUGGUAGAGAAGAACGUUGGUGAGAGUGGAAAGCUCAUCAAGUGACGGUAACUACCCAGAAAGGGACGGCUAACUACGUG